CUAUCUGAGUCUAAGGCGAAGUCGCUGGUAGCAGUACUUUGAAGCUAAAGUUUUAAGCCAAAACGACCAUAAAUACAGACUUGAUAAUCAUAUUCACUGAUGACGUCAAAAGGGUUUCCAUGACACAACAGCCACAAGUUAAAUACCGU
rnacentral:sRNA from 2 species